UCUUUCUCCCACCCCCACCCCCCGCCCCCUGUCAGGAAGUCACCCAAACCUAUUGCCUCCGUAUUAGACUCUGCCUGAAGGAAGCCGCUUUCUGGAUCCUACCCCAGACGCUGGAGGCUGGGCUGCUGCGGCAUCGUCUAUUAGGUCCACCAGGCCACUGUGAGGGUUCUGAGAGAGAAUUCAUGGAAGAUGCUUAGCCCAGGGCUGGGGACCCAGUAAGCACUCCGGGAAUAUUCGUCAUUACUAUUAUUACUAUUAUUGCUGCUGCUGUUGCUGCUACUACUACUACUGCUGCUGCUGCUGCUGUUGGAGAAAGAACCUUCACUGAGGCUGUAUAGCCCAAGUGCUCCAGGCAGGUACCAGCUGAGUAAUCCCAGCUAACAAAAGCGACCAUGGCUACUCUGACGUGUGGGACGACGAUGCUAGCCAGGCCGUGCCAGACCCCUCCAGGGAGCCUUGCUGACCCCUCCACGACUCAAGCUGCAUUGGCUGCCCCUCCGCUGCACUCUCCAAGUUCCC